UCUAACUGAAGUGAUUUAAGGAGAGACCUAAUUCAGAAAUUUAAGCAGCUAGCGGAGCCAUAUAUAUCUGCUGAGAGAAAGGAAAAAAAGUAUGAUCGGAAGGAACAGAAAUGUUAGAUUCCCUCUCUGCAUAAAACGCCAACCCCACUUUCUUUCUACUACUAGAGAUAUAGGGAAUCAAAGUAGUUUCAACAAUUAUUUCAGUCUAAAAGGAAACAAAAAAAGUUCAGUUUGAUAACGUCAAUUUUCUGUUAUUCUUUACCCAAAUUCUCAGGCUCUUUGUCGCCGCCACAACACAAGCUUCAGAAAAACCAGCUAAAGAUAACAAAUUCCCAGAGCUGCCUUCAGAGCCUUGAUUAUUCUACCCCAAGAAAAUAUGAUGGUGUUGCAGAACAAAGAAAAGGGGAGAAAAACAAUGUGCACCCUAAAUUCAGCAUUCAGCAUUCAGCAUCCAGAAAGAAAACCAAAAGGUUCAAAAGCAAAAUCUGAUUGGUCAAAGAAUACAUUUAUGAUGCUAGAUAGAUCCAAAAGAGGUUUUUCACCCAAAGGAACACCUACGGAAUGCCCUAGCACAGACUAUAUAUAUCUAUAGUAACACACUGUACCCUUCAUAAAUGUAUAGAUCCAUAGACUAAGGGAAUGCAGUGAUAUGAUCAGAAUCAGAUACUGAGAGAGAGAAACUAUAUAUUCAUUAUUUUAAGCAGCAGAAAAUAUUUGGCAACUAUUCAAGGAGAAGAAUAAGAGAAAAGAACAAUUCCAGAAACAGCAAACCCGCAACUGCUCUCUGCAACAUUGGAAUGUACACUGUUUCCAGGUACUUCACCUAAUCUUUGAGACUAUUCAGUGUUCCAAAACAUGUCGUACAACACUUUUAGUCUACAAAUCUGGAUCACAUCCCAAACAUGAAGCAACCCCAUUUUCAGGCUUUUCAUAAGCUUUGAUUUGGUAACAAAUUUCUGCAAAGUGACCAUAAAAGUGUGUACGCAUAACCAAAUCCAUAAUUUAGAGAAGUAAAAUUGUGCAGAUCUGUGUGUGGUCUCUACGAAAGCUGAGAAGCCCUAGGGUGCUGCAAAGGGUGUGAACAGUGAAUGAGAAACCCUAAUGCGGAGGGAUAAUGCCAAAGCGUGCCUCGUUUGUCAUUGAUUGAUUGAAUGUUCGUACAUGUGGAGAUAAGGGAUGGGAUGAGUGAUGAUAAUAAAAAGCAAGAAGCACAGUGGCGUCCUUUGUGUUUUCUUGUGUCGACAAAGAUG
rnacentral:lncRNA from 1 species